UGAAGAACGUAGCGAAAUGCGAUAACUAAUGUGAAUUGCAGAAUUCCGUGAAUCAUCGAGUCUUUGAACGCACAUUGCGCCCCCUGGUAUUCCGGGGGGCAUGCCUGUCCGAGCGUCAUUACAACCCUCAAGCCCGGCUUGUGUAAUGGGCGGCCGUCUCUCCCCCCGGGGGGAGACGCCCCCGAAACUCAGUGGGGAUGUCGCGAUACCGAAGCCUCAGCUAAUGGGUAAACCACAGCUGCAAUGGCCGCGGCCGGCGUCCGCCUUCCACGGUCCGUCCGCCUAGCGCGGGCGGCCUUCUCAAGGUUGACCUCGGAUCAGGUAGGGAUACCCGCUGAACUUAAGCAUAUCAAUAAGCGGAGGA
rnacentral:misc_RNA from 1 species